rnacentral:rRNA from 1 species
GAUGAACGCUGGCGGCGUGCCUAAUACAUGCAAGUCGAGCGAACGGGCGAGGAGCUUGCUCCUCUGAUGUUAGCGGCGGACGGGUGAGUAACACGUGGAUAACCUACCUAUAAGACUGGGAUAACUUCGGGAAACCGGAGCUAAUACCGGAUAAUAUAUUGAACCGCAUGGUUCAAUAGUGAAAGACGGUCUUGCUGUCACUUAUAGAUGGAUCCGCGCUGCAUUAGCUAGUUGGUAAGGUAACGGCUUACCAAGGCAACGAUGCAUAGCCGACCUGAGAGGGUGAUCGGCCACACUGGAACUGAGACACGGUCCAGACUCCUACGGGAGGCAGCAGUAGGGAAUCUUCCGCAAUGGGCGAAAGCCUGACGGAGCAACGCCGCGUGAGUGAUGAAGGUCUUCGGAUCGUAAAACUCUGUUAUUAGGGAAGAACAAAUGUGUAAGUAACUGUGCACAUCUUGACGGUACCUAAUCAGAAAGCCACGGCUAACUACGUG